GGGGGAUCCACCAGAUCCGGAGAGAAUUGGAUGUAUCUGCUGUGGACCCUCUCAGGGUGCAGAGGAGUGAUCUGAUGCAAUAUUCCUGUGAACUCACACUGGACACAAACACAGUGAGC